CAUGCAAGUCGAACGAGGAUAUAUCCUUCGGGAUAUAAGCCGAGUGGCGCAAGGGUGAGUAAUGCAUAGAUUACCUGCCUCUAGGAUAAGGACAACUUUGUGAAAACGAAGCUAAUACUUAAUAAUACAAAAGAAAAUAAUUUUCUUUUGUCAAUGGGAGGGUAGCAAUACCUUUUGCCUAGAGAGGGGUUUAUGUCCUAUCAGCUUGUUGGUGGGGUAAUGGCCUACCAAGGCGAAGACGGGUAGCCGGUCUUAGAGGAUGGUCGGCCACACUGGGACUGAGACACUGCCCAGACUUCUACGGAAGGCUGCAGUCGAGAAUCUUUCGCAAUGCCCGAAAGGGUGACGAAGCGACGCCGCGUGAGUGAGGAAGGCCUUAGGGUUGUAAAGCUCUGUCAGGAGUUAAGAAAUAUAAGUGUGUUAAUACCACGUUUAUUUGACGAAGGCUCCAAAGGAAGCCACGGCUAACUCUGUGCCAGCAGCCGCGGUAAUACAGAGGUGGCAAGCGUUGUUCGGAAUUAUUGGGCGUAAAGAGCACGUAGGUGGGUUUGUAAGUCAGAUGUGAAAGCCUUCUGUUCAACGGAAGAAUUGCAUCUGAAACUGCAAGUCUUGAGUGUAGGAGGGGAGAAUGGAACUUCUGGUGGAGCGGUGAAAUGCGUAGAUAUCAGAAGGAACGCCGGCGGCGAAAGCGAUUCUCUGGCCUAUUACUGACGCUCAGUGUGCGAAAGCUAGGGGAGCAAACGGGAUUAGAUACCCCGGCAGUCCUAGCCGUAAACGAUGGGCACUAAGUAGAGGGAAUUACCGAUGUUCUCUCUGCCGUAGCUAACGUAUUAAGUGCCCCGCCUGGGGAGUACGGCCGCAAGGCUAAAACUCAAAAGAAUUGACGGGGGCUCGCACAAGCGGUGGAGCAUGUGGCUUAAUUCGAUGCAACGCGAAAAACCUUACCGGGGCUUGACAUGGUAGAAGUAGGAACCCGAAAGGGUAACGAACGGUAUCCAGUCCAUAGCUAUCACAGGUGUUGCAUGGCUGUCGUCAGCUCGUGUCGUGAGACGUUGGGUUAAGUCCCCUAACGAGCGAAACCCUUGUUUUUAGUUACCAGCGGGUUAUGCCGGGUACUCUAGAAAGACUGCCGUCGUCAAGACGGAGGAAGGUGGGGAUGACGUCAAGUCAUCAUGGCCCUUAUGCCCCGGGCUGCACACGUGCUACAAUGGUCGGUACAAACGGAAGCGAAGCCGAGAGGUGAAGCGAAUCCUAAAAAGCCGAUCUCAGUUCGGAUUGGAGGCUGAAAUUCGCCUCCAUGAAGUUGGAAUCGCUAGUAAUCGCGGAUCAGCAAUGCCGCGGUGAAUAUGUUCCCGAGCCUUGUACACACCGCCCGUCAAGCCACCCAAGCAGGAUGCACCCGAAAACAUUAUAUCUAACCAGGGCAACUUGGAGGAAAGUGUUGAAGGAGUGUUUUGUGAGGAGGACUAAGUCGUAACAAGGUAGUCGUAGGAGAACCUGCGGCUGGAUCACCUCCUUUCU
rnacentral:rRNA from 1 species